rnacentral:lncRNA from 12 species
CCCCAGGGCUAGUUGUGCCUCGUCUCCCAGGGGUGUGCAGACAGUCAAAUGGAAGAGUGGGCUUUUGUCGGGGCUUCCUGGCCAAAGCCCUUACUCAGGUGCAGCAGCCCAUCCUUGCCCAGUGUGAGACCAGUCUGUGGGACACACUGACGUUCCUCCGUAAGAUACUGAAAUGUCUUACCCCUAAAAGGUGACCAUUAGCAAAGGGCAUCAUGAUAGAUGGUGGAACAUCUCGGAGCUAACUGUGUAAUUACAAAGUCCUUUCCAAAAAAAAUAAAAAAUAAAAUAAAAUAAAAAAAAAAAAAAAAACAAAGUCCUUUCCAAGAAAAUAGAGCGAGUCUCUAAUACAACCUCUACGAACAUUCCAGGAAAUAUGUUGGAAGGUUCUAGGCAAGGGGGCGGGGAGGUAAAAAGCAAACAUAUCAUUACCAGAAAAACAAAACAACCCACUAAAGGAUCAUAAACGCACUCGGUGGCUCAGGCUUGCCUCGCCUCCAAGAGAGCUGGUGCGUCUGGAGGAAGAGGUCACAGAGCCUGGUUUUGGUUGUUCCACAAACCCAACCCCAUGCCGCCUCCAGGACUCAGUAAACAGCAUGACUUGGAGAAGGAGAAAAGCAAAAGUGGGCGUCAGUCGUUUAAGCAGAGGGGAAGGAAGGGCAAGGUCACUGAGCGCAACGGAGUUGACGCCGGAGAUGCCUAACGCUCGGUCUCCACUGCUGAAAGGCAAGAGAAAUGCAGUGUAAAAUCACUCGGAGGGGGAAGCCCCCUCUCGCUGGCAAGAGGCUUGAGGGGGCCUUAGGGGGCCCAGCUCCAGCAGCUUCACCCCGUCAGAGGCUGUGCAGGCCAUUGAAUAUUGUUGCCCAGAGAGCCACCAUUGUAGAUUGGAAAGUCACCGCCUGAGAAUCAGAGAGAGCUUGUUUCUCACGAUCUCAUUGACUCUGUGAGACUCAGGUAAUCCCCUCAAACUUCCCUGGACAAAUCCUCACUCAACUGUAAAUAACAAUUAUAGAAACAGUAACAGCUAUCACUUUUGAGCACUUGCUAAUGUCUCAGACACUGCGCUGAUUACCUCCUGAGGUUCCUGUGGGAAGCACAGGAGGCAAAUACUGCUAUUAUGUCGAACUUGCAGAUAAGAUAAAUGAAUUCUCAGAGGCAGUAAGUCCUUUACCAAAGAGUGAUAGCAAGGCCGCCAGAAAGCUGGGGUUUAAAGCAAGAUAGUCAUACUCCACAGUCCACACAGUUGUUACUAGAUAACAUGAUUUCCCUCGGAAAGAGGCAUUUGAGCUAAUAACCCCUGUUGCUGUAAGACUUUCUCUCUACCCACCAAUUCAUCUAUCCAUCCACCC